rnacentral:rRNA from 1 species
ACUUUGAUUCUGGCUCGGAUUGAACGCUGGCGGCGUGCCUAACACAUGCAAGUCGAACGCGAAAGUUUCUUCGGAAAUGAGUAGAGUGGCGCACGGGUGAGUAACGCGUGGAUUAUCUACCUACUGGUACGGGACAACAGUUGGAAACGACUGCUAAUACCGUAUACGCUGGUAACGGGAAAGGGGGCCUCUUCUUGAAAGCUCUCGCCAGUAGAUGAGUCCGCGUUUCAUUAGCUAGACGGUGGGGUAACGGCCUACCGUGGCAACGAUGAAUAGCAGGCCUGAGAGGGUGGCCUGCCACACUGGGACUGGAACACGGCCCAGACUCCUACGGGAGGCAGCAGUGGGGAAUAUUGCGCAAUGGACGAAAGUCUGACGCAGCGACGCCGCGUGGAGGAUGAAGGUUUUCGGAUCGUAAACUCCUGUCAAGAGGGAAGAAACCUAUCAUGAAUAAUACUCAUGGUAAUUGACGGUACCUCUAGAGGAAGCACCGGCUAAUUCAGUGCCAGCAGCCGCGGUA